AUGGAACUGAUGUAAAUUGAAUGAAAGAAACUAAUGCUGAUAGAAUACUCACAGUGAGAUCUCGACAGCAGACCUCGAGUUACCUACUAGUCUCAGUCAGAUCAUACAACAGGUCUCCAGGACGUCUUUAACGCUGCUUUUACAGGAACCAAAACAUAUAUCAAAGAUGGAAACACCCUGAAGACGAAAGGAUAAUUGUUUGCUGUGCUACCUCCAAAGAGCUACGGCGGCACAGUAGCAUCUGUAAUAAAGCGACAGAUGCCUGUUUUUGCA